CGAGAAGCCUGCGCUCCCUACUGGAGGCUCCGCCCCGCCCCGGCCAGCCCCGCCUCCGUCAGAGGCCCCGAUCCGCCCAUCGGAAGGCUCCGCCCUACGGACUCAAUAUCCGGACUCAAUCUCCAGACUUAAUUUUGAAAGCUCGGAAACGUUUCCUGGGGCGGCAAGGCUACAAGCUGCACUUGGGCUGAGAGUUGCCACCAGGCGGCAGCAAGAACAACUGUGGUUUUUGACCCGGGAGAUCCCAUGACACAGGGAUUGAUAGGGAGUAUUCUGGAGUCAGAGUUGGGAAUAAAACAGUGAGCACCUGCUGUCCGACAAGUGUUGGCUCUCACAGGUCAGGGACACCGGAGCCUUGCCCUGAGGAGUUGAAACUUAUGAAAUGGUUCCUGCCGAGUGUUAGGGGAACUGAAGGCUUCCUGCAGGAUGUUUAGAAGAUCUCACUUGCUGUACAUGAGCCUCUAGGCUCCCUUCUCUGCCCUUGUACGGCUGAAGACACACGGGGUAUCCAGGAAGUGUGGCAGCUCACUGCUCACCCAGGCAGCCUGUUCUUCACUCUCAUUCUGCCUGUCUGGGAAGCUCUGAAGAAAAGGGCUUUGGAUUUCAACUGAGAAGCCAAGUGUGAAUUCAUACAUCCCGACUAGAAGCAACAGCUCUAACAAUAUUAAAUUUAAAUCAGUAAGGGUUUUGCUA